CGGAUGGCGGCAGCUACACAUGCAAGUCGAGCGGUAGCACAGAGAGCUUGCUCUCGGGUGACGAGCGGCGGACGGGUGAGUAAUGUCUGGGAAACUGCCUGAUGGAGGGGGAUAACUACUGGAAACGGUAGCUAAUACCGCAUAACGUCGCAAGACCAAAGUGGGGGACCUUCGGGCCUCAUGCCAUCAGAUGUGCCCAGAUGGGAUUAGCUAGUAGGUGGGGUAACGGCUCACCUAGGCGACGAUCCCUAGCUGGUCUGAGAGGAUGACCAGCCACACUGGAACUGAGACACGGUCCAGACUCCUACGGGAGGCAGCAGUGGGGAAUAUUGCACAAUGGGCGCAAGCCUGAUGCAGCCAUGCCGCGUGUAUGAAGAAGGCCUUCGGGUUGUAAAGUACUUUCAGCGGGGAGGAAGGCGAUAAGGUUAAUAACCUUGUCGAUUGACGUUACCCGCAGAAGAAGCACCGGCUAACUCCGUGCCAGCAGCCGCGGUAAUACGGAGGGUGCAAGCGUUAAUCGGAAUUACUGGGCGUAAAGCGCACGCAGGCGGUCUGUCAAGUCGGAUGUGAAAUCCCCGGGCUCAACCUGGGAACUGCAUUCGAAACUGGCAGGCUAGAGUCUUGUAGAGGGGGGUAGAAUUCCAGGUGUAGCGGUGAAAUGCGUAGAGAUCUGGAGGAAUACCGGUGGCGAAGGCGGCCCCCUGGACAAAGACUGACGCUCAGGUGCGAAAGCGUGGGGAGCAAACAGGAUUAGAUACCCUGGUAGUCCACGCCGUAACGAUGUCGAUUGGAGGUUGUGCCCUUGAGGCGUGGCUUCCGGAGCUAACGCGUUAAAUCGACCGCCUGGGGAGUACGGCCGCAAGGUUAAAACUCAAUGAAUUGACGGGGCCCGCACAAGCGGUGGAGCAUGUGGUUUAAUUCGAUGCAACGCGAGAACCUUACCUGGUCUUGACAUCCACAGAACUUGCAGAGAUGCCUUGGUGCCUUCGGGACUGUGAGA
rnacentral:rRNA from 1 species